CCGUAAAACCCCAAGAAGAAGAAGAAGAAGAAGAAGAGCGAAUCAUCGCAGUUGCUCAGUGUUUGGAUGUACAAAACCUCGAAAAAGUAAGUUAACUAACGCCAUAUCAUUGUGUUGCUGUACUGUAUAUGGUUACCUUGUUAGCAUUAUAAUGUUGCUUUAGCAUUAGCGCUACAGCUAACAGCCAAGCUACUGUCGCUAAUUGGUAGACAGUAUCAGUUAUGUGUGUAAAUACCAUGGACCUAUUAAAGAAAGGACAGCGGACUAAUACAUUGCCGCCCAUUCAUAACUAUAAAUACACGCACUGUAACUCGAGUGUGCACCUCAGCAAGCAAGGGGCAUCAUACGAGAAUGGGCACAAUUCAACAAAGGGGGUACAGGCAAUGAUCUCUACUGCUUGGAUACCAGGGGAAUGCAAUGUUUAACAAUGUCUGCUCACCAUACAACAAACGAAUACAACUGUAUUCUACCGGCCACUGGACCGCAGUAGUUCUAGCGUUUUACUGAUGAGGAGAAUGACCUGUUAAAACUCAUCCUAAAUACAUAUGGUGCGUUCCUGGGAACCCGUGUUUUCGCCCCCUUCUACCCUCUUGUACUCCCAGUUAUACCUGGUUAUUUACGGGCAAAAAAGUGUACCUGGAACACUCUAUUAUAGGCAUGUUUUCCCCUUCACACCUGAUUCAAAUCAAAGGGUUAUUAGCAGAUUUCUGCAGAGCUUGAUGUCAUGGUAUUGAGUUGAUGAACUUUAAAAUAUGUAAUCAAAUCAAUGAUGUAAUAUCAUUUAAUAUAACUAAUUUUAGUAUUAGGCUAAUGUAAUUCACUAAACAUGCUUAUCUUAUAUCUUCUUACAACUUGCUGCUGGACUAUAUACAAUAUAAAAAAUGUAGUACUGAUUUUACUUUGUUCUCUCUAAGCAGGCCAGCUCAUCAAGUGCUUACAUUCAGCAGCUUCUCGCAAGGGAUGUUGCCUGCCAGACGGAGCACCUGGAAACGCAUACUAAGACUGCGAUGCCUUUGUAGACCGUAGCACUCAGUGUGGCACCACCUCAAAGAUUCUGGCGGUGGUCGCCCCUGGCUCCUCCCACUGGUCCAGUCACAGCGAGGAACUGGUGGUUAGCAGAAUAAAGAAUAUUUUGCCAUUUUUGCACUUGUAAAUAGUUCAUCGCGUUUUAGCCUACACUCGGAUGUGAACUCAUUCUUGCAUGCAAGGGUCUUGAAUCAAAAAAAAAAAUACGCAGGCAAGACAUUGAAAUUGCAGGGCGUGCCAAGCCACGACCGAACCAGCUUGGCAGUGUUAAAACGCCUAAUCUGUCGGUAGUGGGGAUUGACAACUAUUCUGUGAAAAUGAAAGAAUAUGUCUU